GAUGAACGCUGGCGGCGUGCCUAAUACAUGCGAGUCGAGCGAACAGACGAGGAGCUUGCUCCUCUGGCGUUAGCGGCGGACGGGUGAGUAACACGUGGAUAACCUACCUAUAAGACUGGGAUAACUUCGGGAAACCGGAGCUAAUACCGGAUAAUAUAUUGAACCGCAUGGUUCAAUAGUGAAAGACGGUUUUGCUGUCACUUAUAGAUGGAUCCGCGCCGCAUUAGCUAGUUGGUAAGGUAACGGCUUACCAAGGCAACGAUGCGUAGCCGACCUGAGAGGGUGAUCGGCCACACUGGAACUGAGACACGGUCCAGACUCCUACGGGAGGCAGCAGUAGGGAAUCUUCCGCAAUGGGCGAAAGCCUGACGGAGCAACGCCGCGUGAGUGAUGAAGGUCUUCGGAUCGUAAAACUCUGUUAUUAGGGAAGAACAAAUGUGUAAGUAACUAUGCACGUCUUGACGGUACCUAAUCAGAAAGCCACGGCUAACUACGU
rnacentral:rRNA from 1 species